GAUGGGCGCAGUGGCGCGUGCCUGUAGUCCCAGCAACUUGGGAGGCUGAGGCUGGAGGAUCCCUUGAGCCCAGGAGUUCUGUGCUGUAGUGCGCUAUGCCGAUCGGGUGCUGAAGUAAGUUUAGCAUCAAUAUGGUGACCUCCUGGGAGCACGGGACCACCAGAUUGCCUAAGGAGAGGUGAACCAGCCCAGGUCAGAAACGGAGGAGGUCAAAACUCCUGUGCUGAUCAGUAGUGGGAUCGUGCCUAUGAAUAGCCACUGCACUCCAGCCUGGGCAACAUAGCGAGACCCUGUGUCU
rnacentral:SRP_RNA from 1 species